CUCCAGUUGACGAGUCUCAAAUAGGACGAAAUGCACAUCCCGGAU
rfam:Trichobilharzia regenti genome assembly, scaffold: TRE_scaffold0003181